UACGUAGGGUGCAAGCGUUGUCCGGAAUUAUUGGGCGUAAAGAGCUCGUAGGCGGUCCGUCACGUCGGGAGUGAAAACUUGGGGCUCAACCCCAAGCCUGCUUCCGAUACGGGCGGACUAGAGGUAGGCAGGGGAGAACGGAAUUCCUGGUGUAGCGGUGGAAUGCGCAGAUAUCAGGAGGAACACCGGUGGCGAAGGCGGUUCUCUGGGCCUUACCUGACGCUCAGGUGCGAAAGCUAGGGGAGCAAACAGG
rnacentral:rRNA from 1 species